CGGAAAAGAAACAUGGUCGCGCCGCAGGUUGAUGAUGAAAUCUUCUCGCGGCGAGGAAAAGUCCGGGCUCCGCCGGAAAGAAUGCCGGGCAAUAACCGGGGGAUUUCGAAAGAAUCGCUUUGCGAAAAUUUUGAAAUUCACAGAGAGCGCAACAGAAAACAUACUGCCCGUUUAUGCGGGUGAUGGUGAAAAGGCGUGGUAAGAGCACACCGGCCGCUCGGCAACGGGCGGCGCAUUGCAAGCCUCAUUUGGAGC
rnacentral:RNase_P_RNA from 1 species